GGCCCAGAUCGUUUACCGUGAAAAAAUUAGAGUGUUCAAAGCAGGCAGAUCCAAUUUUCUGCCACCGAAUACAUUAGCAUGGGAUAAUGGAAUAGGACCCUGUCCUCCUAUUUUCAGUUGGUUUUGGCAGCGCGAGGACUAGGGUAAUGAUUAAUAGGGAUAGUUGGGGGCAUUAAUAUUUAAUUGUCAGAGGUGAAAUUCUUGGAUUUAUGAAAGAUUAACUUCUGCGAAAGCAUCUGCCAAGGAUGUUUUCAUUAAUCAAGAACGAAAGUUAGGGGAUCGAAGACGAUCAGAUACCGUCGUAGUCUUAACCAUAAACGAUGCCGACCAGCGAUUAGGAGACGUUGAAUACAAAACACCACCAUCGGUUGCGCGGUCAUCCUUGGCGUCUCGGUUUCGGCCGGGGCGCGGGGAUGGCUUAGCCCGGUGGCACCGGUGAAUGACUCCCCUAGCAGCUUGUGAGA
rnacentral:rRNA from 1 species